AACGCACCUUGCGCCCUCUGGUAUUCCCGAGGGCAUGCCUGUUUGAGUGUCAUGUAGACUCAAUCCCUCGGGUUUCCGAGGAGAUUGGACUUGGGUGUUGCCGCUCUGCCGGCUCGCCUUAAAAGACUUAGCGGGAUAGCACCGUAGUCGGCGUAAUAAGUUUCGUCGGUGAAGGUUGUGAUGACUGCUUACAAUCGCCCUCGGGCAAUUUUUGACUCUGACCUCAAAUCAGGUAGGACUACCCGCUGAACUUAA
rnacentral:misc_RNA from 1 species